CCUACGGGGGGCAGCAGUAGGGAAUCUUCCGCAAUGGACGAAAGUCUGACGGAGCAACGCCGCGUGAGUGAUGAAGGUUUUCGGAUCGUAAAGCUCUGUUGCCAGGGAAGAACGCUUGGGAGAGUAACUGCUCCCAAGGUGACGGUACCUGAGAAGAAAGCCCCGGCUAACUACGUGCCAGCAGCCGCGGUAAUACGUAGGGGGCAAGCGUUGUCCGGAAUUAUUGGGCGUAAAGCGCGCGCAGGCGGCCUUGUAAGUCUGUUGUUUAAACUCGGGGCUCAACUCCGAGUCGCAAUGGAAACUGCAAAGCUUGAGUGCAGAAGAGGAAAGUGGAAUUCCACGUGUAGCGGUGAAAUGCGUAGAGAUGUGGAGGAACACCAGUGGCGAAGGCGACUUUCUGGGCUGUAACUGACGCUGAGGCGCGAAAGCGUGGGGAGCAA
rnacentral:rRNA from 1 species